rnacentral:rRNA from 1 species
UACAGAGGGGGCAAGCGUUGUUCGGAAUUACUGGGCGUAAAGGGCGCGUAGGCGGCCUGCUAAGUCGAACGUGAAAUCCCCGGGCUCAACCCGGGAACUGCGUCCGAUACUGGCAGGCUUGAAUUCGGGAGAGGGAUGCGGAAUUCCAGGUGUAGCGGUGAAAUGCGUAGAUAUCGUGAGGAACACCAGAGGCGAAGGCGGCUACCUGGACAAUUGCUGACGCUCAGGCACGAAAGCGUGGGGAGCAAAAGGG